GAUGAACGCUGGCGGCGUGCCUAAUACAUGCAAGUCGAGCGAACCACUUCGGUGGUGAGCGGCGAACGGGUGAGUAACACGUAGGUGAUCUGCCCAUCAGACGGGGACAACGAUUGGAAACGAUCGCUAAUACCGGAUAGGACGAAAGUUUAAAGGUGCUUCUGGCACCGCUGAUGGAUGAGCCUGCGGCGCAUUAGCUAGUUGGUAGGGUAAAGGCCUACCAAGGCGACGAUGCGUAGCCGACCUGAGAGGGUGAACGGCCACACUGGGCCUGAGACACGGGCCAGACUCCUACGGGAGGCAGCAGUAGGGAAUCUUCGGCAAUGGGCGAAAGCCUGACCGAGCAACGCCGCGUGAAUGAUGAAGGCCUUCGGGUUGUAAAAUUCUGUUAUAAGGGAAGAACGACUUUAGUAGGAAAUGGCUAGAGUGUGACGGUACCUUAUGAGAAAGCCACGGCUAACUACGUGCCAGCAGCCGCCGUAAAAC
rnacentral:rRNA from 1 species